rnacentral:rRNA from 1 species
UACGUAGGGGGCAAGCGUUGUCCGGAAUCAUUGGGCGUAAAGAGCGCGUAGGCGGUCCGGUAAGUCCGCUCUGAAAGUCCGGGGCUCAACCCCGGAUCUGCCGUGCCGACUGUCAAACUCGAGGACUGUAGAGGCAGACGGAAUUCCGGGUGUAGCGGUGGAAUGCGUAGAGAUCCGGAGGAAGACCGGUGGCGAAGGCGGUCUGCUGGGCAGUUUCUGACACUGAGGCGCGACAGCGUGGGGAGCAACAGG